UUUGGGGCAGCUGUGUUGUGCUCCAUCUCUUAUUUUCUUAUUGAAAUCAGGAAGAAUAUAGGGGGUUGAAGCACAGCGCAGCUGUCCCAAACACUCUCGGUAUUUUCUUAUUGAAAUCAGUAAGGUAUUUUCUUAUUGAAAUCAGUAAGAAUAUGGGGGUUGAAGCACAGUGCAGCUGUCCCAAACAUAAGAAUACGGGGGUUGAAGCACAGCGCAGCUGUCCCAAUCACUCUCCGUAGAGUAAGGGAUGUAAAGAGCUAUCUGCAGCAGAUGCGGAAAAAAUCUGCAGUGAACAAUCAGUCAUAUUUACACGAUUUCUCCUUGAGUUUGACGGGUUUGUUGUUACGAGAGUCGACCAGCAAUGAACACGAGAUACGCCUCUGAUGCCUAGUCUUAACCAACUUGCCGACCACAUUCCCUCGUUGCCGGACUUCAAACACCAACAGCAGUGGAACCCGUCGAUUGCCGUCUGAAACAGCCAACCCGGCCCCAGCCCCAUACAGAGGAACUUUAUUUCCUUGGAGGUUCACGGUCACCACCCGGUGGCUCUUUCUAGGUUGAUAGUAUUUCCUCAACUGCGCUCAUUAACAGAGAAGGCCAAGUAUUGGUUGGUGAAAAAGAAUCUCACUCAAAUUAAGCAAGUUUCUAAAUUUUCAUUA
rnacentral:lncRNA from 1 species